rnacentral:rRNA from 1 species
CUACGGGAGGCAGCAGUGGGGAAUCUUCCGCAAUGGACGAAAGUCUGACGGAGCAACGCCGCGUGAGUGAUGACGGCCUUCGGGUUGUAAAGCUCUGUUAAUCGGGACGAAAGGCCUUCUUGCGAAUAGUGAGAAGGAUUGACGGUACCGGAAUAGAAAGCCACGGCUAACUACGUGCCAGCAGCCGCGGUAAUACGUAGGUGGCAAGCGUUGUCCGGAAUUAUUGGGCGUAAAGCGCGCGCAGGCGGAUAGGUCAGUCUGUCUUAAAAGUUCGGGGCUUAACCCCGUGAUGGGAUGGAAACUGCCAAUCUAGAGUAUCGGAGAGGAAAGUGGAAUUCCUAGUGUAGCGGUGAAAUGCGUAGAUAUUAGGAAGAACACCAGUGGCGAAGGCGACUUUCUGGACGAAAACUGACGCUGAGGCGCGAAAGCCAGGGGAGCGAACGGGAUUAGAUACCCCGGUAGUCCUGGCCGUAAACGAUGGGUACUAGGUGUAGGAGGUAUCGACCCCUUCUGUGCCGGAGUUAACGCAAUAAGUACCCCGCCUGGGGAGUAC